rnacentral:rRNA from 1 species
AACGAACGCUGGCGGCAGGCCUAACACAUGCAAGUCGAACGCGUGUAGCAAUACACGAGUGGCGCACGGGUGAGUAACACGUGGGAACCAACCCAGAGGUUCGGAAUAACCGCGGGAAACUGCGGCUAAUACCGGAUGUCCCCCACUGGGGGAAAGGAUUUAUCGCCUCUGGACGGGCCCGCCGUCCGAUUAGCUAGUUGGUGAGGUAAUGGCUCACCAAGGCAACGAUCGGUAGCUGGUCUGAGAGGAUGACCAGCCACACUGGAACUGAGAUACGGU